GCCAGUUUGGCUCAGUAGAUAGAGCAUGGGCCUGCAGACUGAAGGGUCCCGGGAAGGGUUCUGGGUUCCAUUCUGGUCAAGGGCCAUGCCCGGGUUGUGGGUUCAAUCCCCAGUAGCUUGCA
rnacentral:tRNA from 1 species